GGACUACCGGGGUUUCUAAUCCUGUUUGCUACCCACGCUUUCGCGCCUCAGUGUCAGUUGCGGUCCAGGUAGUCGCCUUCGCCACUGGUGUUCCUUCCGAUCUCUACGCAUUUCACCGCUACACCGGAAAUUCCACUACCCUCUACCGCACUCUAGCCUUGCAGUUUAAAGUGCAAUUCCUAGGUUAAGCCCAGGGAUUUCACACCUUACUUGCACGACCACCUACGCGCCCUUUACGCCCAGUAACUCCGAUUAACGCUUGCACCCUCUGUAUUACCGCGGCUGCUGGCAC
rnacentral:rRNA from 2 species